rnacentral:miRNA from 1 species
UGGACAAAUGAAAUAUUCAGUAAAUGAGAGUGAGCAAAUAUUUCAUUUGCUCACUUUCAUUUACUGAAUAUUUCAUUUGUCCACUUUCAUUUAC